rnacentral:rRNA from 1 species
UACGUAGGGCGCAAGCGUUGUCCGGAAUUAUUGGGCGUAAAGAGCGUGUAGGCGGCCUGGUAAGUCCGCUGUAAAAGUCAAAGGCUCAACCUUUGAAUGUCAGUGGAUACUGCCGGGCUAGAGUCCGGAAGAGGCGAGUGGAACUCCUGGUGUAGCGGUGGAAUGCGCAGAUAUCGGGAAGAACACCCGUGGCGAAGGCGGCUCUCUGGGACGGUACUGACGCUGAGACGCGAAAGCGUGGGGAGCGAACAGG